rnacentral:lncRNA from 1 species
CAGAGGGUCAACGCAGUGCUUCUGAGAGACAGGAAUGGAUACAAAAGACAGCUGAGAUGCCCUUCCUUCAGCACUCUAAGAGCAGCACACAGACACAACUCAGUGUCUCCGCUUCACUGUGUGUGGGGUCCAGGAAGCCAAGGAUGUUUGAGGAGCCACAGAACCUUCCCUGUCCGGUGUGGAGAGAGAGCUGAGAGUGAGAAGAGGAUCAGCAGGGUGUGCUUUCUUUCAAUUUACUUAUGAUCUUACCUGGUCCUGGCACACCUUUUUUGUUGUUGUUGUUGUUGUUGUUGUUGUUGUUUUGGUACCGGGAUCAAACUCGGGUCCUUGUGCUUGCACAGCAGGUGGUGAAACCACUGAGCUAAAUCCCCAGCCCUGUUGUUGUUUGUUUUUUGUUACAAGGUCUUGCUAUGUGGUUCAGGCUGGCCUUCAACUCACUAUGUAGCACAGGCUGGACUCAAAUUUGCAGAGAUCCUCCUGUCUCAGCCUCCCAAGUGCUAGGAUUACAGGUAUGCACCACCAUGCCCCACAGCUGGCACAUCUUUGGAAGAUAGGAGAACUGAAAUUUUUUUCCCUCCCCCUCCUUACAGAAAAGAAAACUGAGCCUGGAAGUUUAUCAAGGCAAGAUAGAAACAAUCCAGCCAUGUAACCUCCAGGUCAGUUCUCUGCACCUGGCUGCUAUUGCCUGAGUCUCAGAGGCUGGGAGAGAGGAAACACAGACAUCUGUCGGGGUG